GGGACCCUGGAAUCUGGCAGCUGGGGGGGUUUGCAGCGGUUUGUAACCCCCUCCCCUGCUUCUUCCAGGCCCCCCCAGCAGAGCGUCCGGCCCCCCUGCGAGCCCAGGGAGAAGCCGCCGAAGCCAAGGGGCAGCGGCUAAGCGAGGAGCUGCUGGGCACCGGGAGCUGUGGGGGCAGGGAGGACGGGACGUUUUGGAAGCCAGAGCCGUCGUUUGCGGAGCUGGAGAAGAGACUCAGCGAUUUCUCUCUGAAAAGUGCCAUGCUGCAGGAGGUGCUGCUGGGAUUCAAAGGUGAGUUGGAGUCUGGGGGGGGCCUCUCCAGACCCUGGGGAGGAGUCGGGGGCUCGAGUGAUCUCACU
rnacentral:lncRNA from 1 species